AGAGUUUGAUCCUGGCUCAGAUUGAACGCUGGCGGCAGGCCUAACACAUGCAAGUGGAGCGGCACGAGUCCUUCGGGAUGCCGGCGAGCGGCGGACGGGUGAGUAAUGCCUAGGAAUCUGCCUGGUAGUGGGGGACAACGUAUCGAAAGGGACGCUAAUACCGCAUACGUCCUACGGGAGAAAGUGGGGGAUCUUCGGACCUCACGCUAUCAGAUGAGCCUAGGUCGGAUUAGCUAGUUGGUGAGGUAAUGGCUCACCAAGGCGACGAUCCGUAACUGGUCUGAGAGGAUGAUCAGUCACACUGGAACUGAGACACGGUCCAGACUCCUACGGGAGGCAGCAGUGGGGAAUAUUGGACAAUGGGCGAAAGCCUGAUCCAUCCAUGCCGCGUGUGUGAAGAAGGUCUUCGGAUUGUAAAGCACUUUAAGUUGGGAGGAAGGGCAUUAACCUAAUACGUUAGUGUUUUGACGUUACCGACAGAAUAAGCACCGGCUAACUCUGUGCUAGCAGCCGCGGUAAUACAGAGGGUGCAAGCGUUAAUCGGAAUUACUGGGCGUAAAGCGCGCGUAGGUGGUUCAGCAAGUUGGAGGUGAAAUCCCCGGGCUCAACCUGGGAACUGCCUCCAAAACUACUGGGCUAGAGUAUGGUAGAGGGUGGUGGAAUUUCCUGUGUAGCGGUGAAAUGCGUAGAUAUAGGAAGGAACACCAGUGGCGAAGGCGACCACCUGGACUAAUACUGACACUGAGGUGCGAAAGCGUGGGGAGCAAACAGGAUUAGAUACCCUGGUAGUCCACGCCGUAAACGAUGUCGACUAGCCGUUGGGAUCCUUGAGAUCUUAGUGGCGCACUAACGCGAUAAGUCGACCGCCUGGGGAGUACGGCCGCAAAGUUAAAACUCAAAUGAAUUGACGGGGGCCGCACAAGCGGUGGAGCAUGUGGUUUAAUUCGAACAACGCGA
rnacentral:rRNA from 1 species